AGGGNCGACGCUGGCGGCGUGCUUGAUACAUGCAAGUCAAGGAGAAUUUUAUUUUCGGAUAAAUAGUAAACUGGCGAACGGGUGAGUAACGCGUAAAUAACUUGCCUCAGAGAUUGGGACAACAUUGGGAAACCAGUGCUAAUACCAAAUAAUGCAGCGGGCCCUUCGGGGUAUUUGUUGUUAAAGUGGGCUUCGGCUCACGCUUUGAGAUAGGUUUGCGUCCGAUUAGUUAGUUGGUAGGGUAAUUGCCUACCAAGGCGAAGAUCGGUAGCUGGUCUGAGAGGAUGAUCAGCCACACUGGAAUUGAGAUACGGUCCAGACUCCUACGGGAGGCAGCAGUAAGGAAUUUUGCACAAUGGGCGAAAGCCUGAUGCAGCAACGCCGCGUGAUUGAUGAAGUUUUUAGGAAUGUAAAAAUCUGUCGUAAGGGAAGAAAUGUUUCAGAUAUUAAUACUAUCUGUUAUUGACGGUACCUUACAAGAAAGCACCGGCUAACUUCGUGCCAGCAGCCGCGGUAAUACGAGGGGUGCUAGCGUUGUCCGGAUUUACUGGGCGUAAAGGGUACGUARGCGUUUUAACAAGUUAUGUGUUAAAUACUUUAGCUUAACUAAAGAACUGCACAUAAAACUGUUAGAAUAGAGUUUGAGAGAGGAACGCAGAAUUCAUGGUGGAGCGGUGACAUGCGUAGAUAUCAUGAGGAAAGUCAAAUGCGAAGGCAGCCUUCUGGCUCAAAACUGACGCUGAGGUACGAAAGCGUGGGGAGCGAACAGGAUUAGAUACCCUGGUAGUCCACGCCGUAAACGAUGAGUACUUGGUGCUGGAAGAUUCGACCCUUUCAGUGCCGUAGCUAACGCGAUAAGUACUCCGCCUGGGGACUACGAUCGCAAGAUUGAAC
rnacentral:rRNA from 1 species